GACGAACGCUGGCGGCGUGCUUAACACAUGCAAGUCGAGCGGAGCGGCGAACGGGUGAGUAACGCGUGAGUAACUGCCCCCCUCUCUGGGAUAACAGUUGGAAACGGCUGCUAAUACCGGAUAGUGGGGGAUGACUCGCGUCCUAUCAGCUUGUUGGUGGGGUAGUGGCCUACCAAGGCGACGACGGGUAGCCGGCCUGAGAGGGCGACCGGCCACAUUGGGCUGAGAUACGGCCCAAACUCCUACGGGAGGCAGCAGUGGGGAAUAGUGCACAAUGGGGGAAACCCUGAUGCAGCAACGCCGCGUGCGGGAUGACGGCCUGCGGGUUGGAAACUUCUUUAGACAGGGACGCGGUACCUGUAGAAUAAGCCACGGCUAACUACGUGCCAGCAGCCGCGGUAAUUC
rnacentral:rRNA from 1 species